UACGUAGGGUGCAAGCGUUGUCCGGAAUUAUUGGGCGUAAAGAGCUCGUAGGCGGUCUGUCGCGUCUGCUGUGAAAACCCGCGGCUUAACCGCGGGCUUGCAGUUGAUACGGGCAGGCUAGAGUUCGGUAGGGGAGACUGGAAUUCCUGGUGUAGCGGUGAAAUGCGCAGAUAUCAGGAGGAACACCGGUGGCGAAGGCGGGUCUCUGGGCCGUAACUGACGCUGAGGAGCGAAAGCGUGGGGAGCGAACAGG
rnacentral:rRNA from 1 species